AAGAUUGAAGCAACCAGGAAAGUUCAGGUGCAGUGAUGGGGCGGUUCACAAGUGACAUGGUGGUCAGGCUGCUGAAUGGCAGACAGAGUGAAUGCAGAAUAAACAAGACCUGACAAAACAGUUGAAGAAACCAGGAACAAUAAGUCAAUGAAGCAAAGUGUUCUGCACUAUUUGAAGAAAGCAGGCAGGAUGAACCAACUUCAAACUUAAACCAAGAAGUUGUUAAGGGGAAGAAUCAACAAGGGAGAGGACACAGCACUUCAAUCUU
rnacentral:ncRNA from 1 species